rnacentral:tRNA from 1 species
GCACCCAUAGCUCAGUUGGUAGAGCAGCUGACUCUUAAUCAGCGGGUCCUGGGUUCGAGCCCCGGUGGGUGUACCA